rnacentral:lncRNA from 1 species
GAGUCUAAAACAGAAGAGCUGAGAAAUCAGUCUGUGGCCAUCGUGGACUGGAGCUCAUUGAGAUGGCAGCUUCUGCCCAGGGCCAAUCCACCCACCACUCUCCCUGCCCUUUGCCUAAUCGUCUUUAUUUUUUCCCUUUCCCUUUCUAAACUAUCUUCCAUUGUGGAUUUUGGAAUUACUGGCUGGAAUUACCCUUUUCUGAGGAACACCGCUACAUGUGAGCUAAUUCUGUGCAUCUCUCUUAAGGAAAGCGGCUCGGAGGUCCUCAGCCUAGAGAAGGGGCUCAAACACCUGAGGGGCCGAACGCCCGUGAGGUCGGGGAGGACGGUGGCCACUGCCCCGCCGGGCCGAGCCACAGCAGAGCCCCCGGCGCCGAGCGGGAGCGGCCGGGGCGGGCCGGGCCUCAGGGGAGCGGCCGCGGCGGCCCCCCCCCCCCCCCCCCCCCCCCCCCCCCCCCCCCCCCCCCCCCCCCCCCCCCCGGCGGGGCCUGCGAGGGGAGCUGCGGGGGCUGCUCGGAGCCGGGAAAUGACGGGGGGAGCCACCAGAACUGCUGGGGAAACGCUGGUUCAGCCUAAGUUAGUAGAAAGGAAUUUUGGUGUUCAUCUCAUUUGGUCUCCCGUAGUAUACAGAAACAUUCCAUCUCAAUUUGAUGUGAGAAAGCACCUGAAACACAGCUAUUGCAAACCUGCCAAGUCUAAUUAAAUUUUUGUUCUGUUUAAUUUAUUAAUUCCUGAGAUGAAAACCAUAAUACAAAGAACCAGACAGGACUGCAGCUAAGUAAUAGAGAACUAAAACUGAAAGAAAAACAUUAUGAGCCAUUUUUUUAUUGUGAUGAGACAAAUAAUUUCAUCUAUUUCCUGACAUAAAAGACAAGAAAGGGAGAGCGUAACAAAUAACACAGACAGGAGAAAGAGCAGAAUGGAGUGAAAAUUUUCUAAAUGUCACAGGAAAUGAAAUAAUGAACUCUGAAGGAAGCAGCUUCCAUUUUGCUCAGUAGAGUCUUUUCUCUCAAAGCUGUCAUGUUGGGAGAAAUGGAAAAGCUCUGAAAUAAAUUUUAAACCUGUUUGUGUUAAAGUUUGGAUUUCUUAGACCUUUUGGCAGCAGGUGUCUUUUCUUAAUAUUCAUUAUUCAUGUAGCCUCACAAUGCAUUUCAAUUUACAAAUGAAGAGGUAUACAAGCCUUUCUCCACUGCAUUAAAUAGAUGAAAUAUAUUACUGCCUUUGAGCUCAAAAUGCCAUAGCUGGAGCUUGAAAGUUAAUUGCCUGCUGCAGCUGAUAGCCAUAUGAGUUGCAAAUAAGUUUUAUUUUGAAGAAUAUGCGCAUGAACAGAGUUCUUCCAUGCAUCUUUAUAUUUUUCUGGAUUAUAAUGUACUUUCUAGUAUUAUUAUGAAAUAGU